ACAAAGCCUGUUUGAUAACAAAGUGUUGGGCAUCCAUGUAAUUUAUUGAAUACGGUUCUGAAAACCAGGGAGGUUGUGUGGGACUCGAAGCCCAGUUUCUGUUGCCUGCCUGUUGCUUUAAUACCAUGGUAAAGUCCAAAAAUCGUUAAGUCAGGGACUGUCUGUAAACGAAACAAAAAUAACAUAUGGAAUCUAGAAUAUGGCCCAGGUGUUGGGCCCUGGGCCUCUGAGGAUGAAGGGGGGAACGCAGGAGGUGUCCAGCAACCUGUGGUCAAGGCCGGGUUCUCUCCCAGGACGCUGCCCACGGCUAUUGUCCUCGGGUUGGCCUGCCUGGCAGCCGUGGCCACAGCUGAGGGCCUGGGAGGAGGCUGUGAGGCAGUGCGGCUGACCGAUUCACAUCUCGGGGUAAAGGGGCUACGGCUGUGGGCCAAGACCUGUCUGCCCCCUGUAUUUCCUUUCAGGAAAUAGGACAAAGGCAGGGCAGGCUCCAGCACUCCACACCAAGGGGAAGAGCCUUUGAGGAGUCGUCUCUGCCAUCAUCAAGAUUGAGGGAAAAGUAAGUCUAGGAGAUUAGGGCAAGCCCUCAGUUUUCUUUCUUUUUUUUUAUUUUUUUGAGACAAAGUCUCGCUCUGUCGCCCAGGCUGGAGUGCAGUGGCGCCAUCUUGGCUCACUGCCACCUCCACUUCCCGGGUUCAAGCGAUUCUCCUGCCUCAGCCUCCUGAGUAGUUGGGACUACAGGUGCCCGCCACCACGCCUGAAUGACUUUUUGUAUAUUUAGUAGAGACGGGGUUUCACUGUGUUAGCCAGGAUGGUCUCGAUCUCCUGACCUCGUGAUCCACCCGCCUCGGCCUCCCGAAGAGCUGGGAUUACAGGCGUGAGCCACCGCGCCCGGCCCCUUCAGCUUCCUUGGGUUGAUGUAAACAGGAAACAGAAUAACACGUUUCAUGUUUCUCCUGAACUUUUAUGACCGUGUGCAAAACCCCUGAAGAAACAGGGAAGACAGAAAAAAAAAAAAAAAGCAGCCAAGACAAGCACAGCUUCUGAGCUAAGCUUGCAGCUUGUGUAUGAGACACGGGGGCAAGAUUACGGUUACCGCCUCCUCUACCACAGCAGCCCCCCACCAAGGACAGGGAAGUCAGACUGUCUUCAGAGCAUUAGGUUGUAGACUCGACAUCAGAUGAAGAGAGACACGAAGGCAUGGGAAAAGAGAAAGGGUGAGGUUCGGCUGGAACCUAAUCAAAGUCACAGGAGCCAAAAGGAAACGCAUCUCCUGGUUGUGUGACUGCUGCAGGCCACCUGGCUGUGGGUGCUGUGGGACCAGUCUGUCCCUCAUUCCUUGGUCCAGCCUUUCUUGAGCACUUGCUGUAUGCCAGGCUCUGUGCUGGGCACAAGGGGUGGAAACUACGAAAGGUGGACGUGAGGUUAAAGCUCAGCGGGUGAGCCACGUGCCACCACAGUGCCCAGCUUUUGCCUUCCAGGUCCCGACACCUGGUCACCCUGGGUGGUUUUAGGAAUGAAGGCAGCACCUGUGUCUCCAAUGCCCCGCCCCGAGCCACGCAUCCAUCCCCAGAAGUGACGGGAUGCCUGGAGGAGGCCUCUUCCUCCCCUUCCUUUGGAGAUUAAAACAGAAUUUCAGUUGGAAUGCAGCCCUCAGGCAGAACAACUGGACGGGAUGGGGUUUCCGCACUCAGGUGGUGAUACUGCAAAUCAAAGGGACACCUUUACCUCCCAAAGAGACCUUUCUCUUUACCCUGCUCUCUGUUUCUACUUAAUCCUGCCAGGAAAUCUGAGCAGAAAAGCCUCACUCCUCCCAGUGCCGCAGUGUUGGAAAGGAUUUAAGAAUCGCUGAAAUCUUAUCAAACAAUGAGGGAGCUUUCCGGAUGGAAGCCUGGACCCGGGGCUCCAGGUGCACCCUCUGUCCCAGAGAUCCGGUGGACCCAGAAGGAGGCGCGUGGGGCAGGCCUGCCACGGACCCCUGGGGUUCCCGCGUGUCCUCACCGCCUGUGGCCCUGCAGUACCUGAGUGCCUCCAGCACUGCCCUGUGCGCCUCGUCACGGUGCUUCAUGCCCACCAGGCUGGUGGCCCACUGCUGCAGGAUGCGCCUCUUCUCCAUGCUGAUGGCAUCGAUCUCUGUGCAGGCCUGCAGCCAACGGGGGAGAGGGCAGGAACAGCUGUCUCAUUUCAUUGGCGAGUAAAGCCCAAGAACACUGGAGCCUCACA